rnacentral:rRNA from 1 species
UACGUAGGGUGCGAGCGUUGUCCGGAAUUAUUGGGCGUAAAGAGCUCGUAGGCGGUCUGUCGCGUCUGCUGUGAAAACUCGGGGCUUAACCCCGGGCCUGCAGUGGGUACGGGCAGACUAGAGUGCGGUAGGGGAGACUGGAAUUCCUGGUGUAGCGGUGAAAUGCGCAGAUAUCAGGAGGAACACCGGUGGCGAAGGCAGCUCGCUGGGACGGUACUGACGCUGAGGCGCGAAAGCGUGGGGAGCAAACAGG